CUUUAUUCGUUUUAUCUUCUCCCAUUUAUUCGUGUAACACGAAUUUUUCUUACGAAUUCUACUUACUCAAAUUUGCAAAUGAUAAAUCAAACGAAUGAAAGAAACGGCGGUACUAAUCGAAACUUCUAUUUUUGCAGGAGACCGCUUGCCUUUAAUUAAGAUAUGAAUCAAGUUCUCUGUCGCGACGGACCAAUUAAAGAAAUAAAUCCACUGAUCAUUAAUUUCACCGGUAAUGAACUUUUGGUUAAUAUCUUGUUUUUCACGAAAAGGAAACACUCUUUUCGUUGUUUUCUUUUAUCUUUUAAUUAAGUGUAUUCUUCCGCGGUAAAAAAUCACAGAAAACAAGAAAUUAUACACACAAUGGGAAAUUAUUUAGGCUGACAUUUCUUUCUCGUUCAAUUUUGUUUCUUCUUCUAACUAAGCUUAUAUGAUAAUUUAAUAAACUAAAAAUCUAAAUUCAUCUUCUAAUCAGUCAAUGUACACGUGCACGAACUACUAUCCUUUGAGUCUAUUAACAAUAAAAGAAAAAUAGUUUUAAAUAACAAAUUUAUUUAUUAAGACAACUGUUGUGCAAGCUAUUGCUUUUUGUUGAUGAUAUUCGGAGCAAUAUUCCUCAUAAUAGACGUAUUUUUUAAUUAGAGUUUAAGCUUUAUAUUUUAUGAAUUAUU